rnacentral:antisense_RNA from 1 species
CUUCUAUAAAAGACAGUAAAUUUUUACCUUGAAGCUCUGAAACAAUAAAUAUAUCAUUAUAAUUCACUACAACAUCAAUAAAAUGGGGCACAAACUUUGAAACUGAAGAUUUACUCAGAAUGUUAAGAUAAUUUGCUUCAAUUAUAGAGUUUCUUAAAUACUGAUCAUCCGACAAGCUUCCCAUAAGCCUUUUUAAACAAACUAACUUAAAUGAUAGCAAGUCAAGCCCAACAUAAACUUGGCCAAAAUUUCCUCUAUGUAAAACUUUAAUGAGUAAAAAUCGAUUUGAAAU